rnacentral:lncRNA from 1 species
UAAAAAAAUUCUUUAAAUUGCUUAAUAGGAAAAACAAAACCUCCUAUAUAUCCUAUGUUGUUUUCUGGCCUUCAAAAUCUAAUUGAUGAUUCUCAAGGCAAGGCAAGUGUGUGAGAUCCAAUAUUUCACAUGUGAAGUAGAAGUGUAAUCCCAUUAAGUUUUUUGUAUGAAGAUUUAUAAUCAAAUAGCAAAUAUUAAUAGCAUACAAUUAUUAGUUAUAAAAAAAAAAGGCAAAAUUACACUUCAGGUCCUUUAUCUUAUUUUUUUGUAACACUUUGGUCCUUUAUCUUUUUUUUUGUAACACUUUGGUCCUUUAUCUUUUAUUUGUAACACUAUGGUCCUUUAUUAUUUUUUAUUUGUAACAUUUAGGUCCUUUAUUUUUUAUAAAUAAAUAAGAUAAGGACCAAAAUGUUACAAAAAAAAGAACUAAAGUGUUACAAAU